CCCCUCUUGGAAAGUAGUCAAGGGCUCCUAACUUGUAGGAGCCCUUCAUCCUUAUAAAAGAAGGACUAGGGCCGGCGCCCUAGAUGAACUUUUCCUCCUCUUCAAGCCGUGGCCACCCCCUCUCCAUCUCCUCUUGUUUCAGCCGCAAGCAAGGGAAGAAGAAGAUCCAAGUGUUGGCGGCCUCCUCCCCUUCCCUUCCUUCAUCCAACGCAAGGAAGAAAAGAAGGCUGCAUGGGGAUUCUUCUUCAUCCUCUUCUUCAUCCUUCUUCUUCCUCCUCUCAAGCAUAUUCAAGAGUUGAAAGAAAGAGAGGAGAUCAGCCAUCAAAAGAAGUCUUUGCAAGGGAGCUAGCACCCCGGGAAGACAAGAGAUCUUUGAUCAGGUCCUCUGCUUCGUGUGGAUACCCG
rnacentral:lncRNA from 1 species